CCCCUUUUUUCUACUUUCCUGAGCAGAGCAUGAAUGCGUGAAAACUUUUCAACAUUUAUUUCACUUUUCUGCACAAAUUCAAGUUAGGAUUUUACUUUACAUGAAUUUUCCCUAUAUAAGGCACUCUAAUUGGGAAGAUCAAUGGUGCAAUUGUGUUUCAUUGUUUCCAAUUUAUUCACAAGUGCAUUGAAGGAUUUCAUAGCAAGGGAAGUGGCUGAUUGAGACGAUGAAGUGAUCACUGUUGCUCCAUUCAAGGUUUUUUCCGGCCAAAAAUCCGAUUGGCAACCCAACUUCCUCUUCUGGCGAAAUUUGAACAUCCAAAUCGCCACCCAUUUUUGCCUCCUCAGAAUUCGACCUUCCCAGGUACUAAGUACUAGGUUUUUUCCGUUUUCCUCCUCUGUCUUUUUUUCUAUUACCUUAAAUUUGUCAACUUUCAGGUUAAAAAUGAAUGACUCAUACCAUUAAUGGUGUUAUUAGAAUUUUCUGGUUCAGGUACUAUCUUCCCAGUUUACAGGUAUGCUACAUCAGUUUUGGGUUAUUUGCUCAAAAUACUUAUUUGCCUCACAUAUUGAUUCUAUUAGGUAAAGAAAAUCAGCAUUGGCUUCUCUGCAGUCUGUGAACACCCAGAGCAGAGAAAAAAUGUUCAUCAUUUUUUAACCGAGUAGAGGAGGAACUUGGCACUAUUAGUGAUGCUGAGUCAACAAAAAAGGUUUCAUAAGCUAUGCAGAUUGGAGCGCGAGCAAUUAAAGAAGUAAGAUCAGUGUGGAAGAUGUUGAUCUAUGAUUAAGAGAUCUCGAAGAGAGUAUUGGUUCACAGAAGGAAGUUUAAAAGGCGCUAGGUAUAUUUCGUCAAAUAUUUUAUACCACAUAUUUGAAUUGUGCUUUUGCAUUUUUUAUGCUGAAAUGAAUUGUUUGUGAUACUAACUUGAGGGAAUUUCAAGAUCGUCAGGAUGUUUGUAUCUCUGAUGUCAACAAUUAAGAUUUUGAUUUCUUAAGCAUGUUGCCUUGUGUCUUUAGAGCAAACUCCACCACACACAGAUAUGGAUGAAGAAGAUGUUGAAGAGGAAUUCAAUAUACCCUGUAGUAUUUAUAGAUGUAGCUCCUGUGAAGAACAAAUAUACCUUGUACGUAUUUAUUUUAAAAACAUUGAAAACUUACAUUCUCUCCUCCUGCAACCUUUUUCUUCUUUUUCAUUUACCAUUAAAAACCAACAGGGUUUUAUUCCAUGUGAUGAAGGUCCACCUUAAGUUAAAUAUGUUCUGUCAAUUGUGGUAGUGGUUUGCAAUUUUACGGUGGCCUCAAAAGCUAAAAAUAAUUCUAUUAAAACUUCAUGAGGUAGACUUUAAUUACAGAGCAAUUGGUUCUUAUAUUAAUUAAGGUGGUGUUUAGUUUUCCCAAAUAAAUCAGUUCAAUAGCCAAACCUGCAUAUUGUCAUUCACAGAUUGAGUUGUCAUUUAUAAAGUAUAAAUUGAAUAACAUUUAUGUUAUUACUUUUUAAAAUUUGUUUAUUAAUAUUUUAUACUUCACUAUUAUCCUGGGUGUGAGGCAUAUCCUUAGAGAUCAGCCACAAAUGCUAUGGACUGCUAUUGACAUGCCUGGAGAAUGAGUCAGGGUUUUAUUGGAUGGGUUUGCAAAAUAGUAGUAUUGUUUUUUCAUGGUGGGGUUGGAGGAGUGUGUUUUAUGCUCCUUUGCACAGAUCCGAUGCAAUGGUGUAUGGGAGUUUUACAGGCAUGGGGACACAGGCUGUAGUGCGGCUAUUUUUUACUGGUAUAUUACAUUGAAAUGAUUUUAUUGUCAUGAUUUGUGGGAUAUAUAGGCCAUAACGUGGUUCUAAUUUUGACAUGGGUUUAGGCCUUAUAUUAAUCCAGUUGGGGCUAUGUGGGUUUGAUUCGGUGUUUGGCAAUCCUUUGUUGGUGAUAUAAAAUUUGCUGAGCAUUUGAUUAAAUGUUGUUUUGCUCAUUUGGGAGAGCAAUGUUCCCAAGUAUGAUUAUUCUUUAGUAAAACUUCAUCUUUUCCUUAAAAAAA